UACAGAGGGGGCAAGCGUUAUUCGGAAUUACUGGGCGUAAAGCGCGCGUAGGCGGACCUGCAAGUCGGGGGUGAAAGCCCGAGGCUCAACCUCGGAACUGCCUUCGAUACUGCGGGUCUCGAGUCCGGGAGAGGUGAGUGGAACUGCGAGUGUAGAGGUGAAAUUCGUAGAUAUUCGCAAGAACACCAGUGGCGAAGGCGGCUCACUGGCCCGGUACUGACGCUGAGGUGCGAAAGCGUGGGGAGCAAACAGG
rnacentral:rRNA from 1 species